rnacentral:rRNA from 1 species
UACGGGGGGAGCAAGCGUUGUUCGGAUUUACUGGGCGUAAAGGGCGCGUAGGCGGCCACUGCAAGUCAGUUGUGAAAUCUCCGGGCUUAACCCGGAAAGGUCAACUGAUACUGCAGGGCUAGAGUGCAGAAGGGGCAACUGGAAUUCUCGGUGUAGCGGUGAAAUGCGUAGAUAUCGAGAGGAACACCUGCGGCGAAGGCGGGUUGCUGGGCUGACACUGACGCUGAUGUGCGAAAGCUAGGGGAGCGAACGAG